rnacentral:rRNA from 1 species
UACGUAGGGCGCGAGCGUUGUCCGGAAUUAUUGGGCGUAAAGAGCUCGUAGGCGGUUUGUUGCGUCGGCUGUGAAAUCCCGAGGCUCAACCUCGGGUCUGCAGUCGAUACGAGCAAACUAGAGUGUUGCAGGGGAGACUGGAAUUCCUGGUGUAGCGGUGAAAUGCGCAGAUAUCAGGAGGAACACCGGUGGCGAAGGCGGGUCUCUGGGCAGCAACUGACGCUGAGGAGCGAAAGCGUGGGGAGCGAACAGG